GAUUUCAACUCAGAAAGUCAUCAACAACAAAGUUGUAUAACUUAUCAAGAUCUAUAACUUUUAUUUUAGUCAUUUCUUCAUCCGACAAAGCGAUAGAAAUAUUGUUUACAAAAUUAGCAUAUCUCGCAUAAGGUUUCAUAAGCUAUAAGAGAAAUAUGCAAAUUUUGUGAACAAUGUUAAUGUUACUAUCACUUUGUCGGAUGAAGAAAUGACCAAAAUAAAAGUUAUAGCUCUUGAUGAGUUCUAUAACUUUUAUGUUCAUGAUUUUUUUCAGCUGAAAUU
rnacentral:pre_miRNA from 1 species